GAUGAAUUGUAUUGACCUAAGAGGUGACGUUAGUUUAAUUUUUCCUCCAAUAGCAAAAUGUAAAAGUAUUCAUUAUUAAGAACAAGGAGCAUUUUGUAAACAGAACUUAAAAUGUAUUUAAAUAUAUUCAAUGAGAUACUUAUAAUAGUAUUUAAAUAAGCAAAUUCCACUGUAGCCUUUAACAGUUACUGCCAUUCUUCCCUCCCCUCAGCCCUAGGCAACCACUCUACUUUCAGUCUUCAUGGAUUUGCCUAUUCUGGACAUUUCAGAUAAGUCAUACAAUAUGUGGCACUUUGUAUGUGGCUUCUUUCACUCACCAUAGUGUUUUCAAGGCCCAUUCAUAUUAUAGCAUGUAUCAGAAUUUUACUCCUUUUGUUGACUCAGUAGUAUUCCAUUGCAUAGAUACAUUACAUUGUGUUUGUCCAUUCAUCAGUUGAUGAACAUUUGAGUAAUUUCCACUUUUUGGUUAUUAUGAAUAUUGCUGCUAUGAACAUUUGUAUCAGGUUUUUGUGAGCAUCUGUUUUCAGUUCUCUUGGAUAUAUGCUAGGAGUGAAUUGCUAGUAUAUUAAUGAUUUUUAACUUUUUAUGGUACCACUAAACUGUUUUCCACAGCAGCUGCACCAUUUUACAUUCCAACUAGCAGCGAAUGAAGGUUUGGAUUUCUCCACAUCUUUGUCAACACUUGUCUGUCGUUUUUAUUUUGGUCAUCUUAUUAGGGAUGUGGUGGUAUCUCAUCAUGGUUUUGAUUUGCAUUUCCCUAAUGGCAAUGAUGCUGAUCAUCCUGUCAUGUGCUUAUCAGCCACUUGUAUAUCUUCUUUGGAGAUAUGUCUAUCCAUAUCCUUCACUCAUUUUUAAACUGGGUUACUUGUCUUAUUAUUGUUAUGAGUUGUAUGAGUUGUAAGGGUUAUUUAUAUAUUCUGGUUACAAGUCUUUUGUCAGAUAAAUUAUUUGCAAAUAUUUUCUCCCAUCCUGUAAAUUGUCUUGUUAUUUUCUUCAUGGUGUCCUUUGAGGCACAAAAGUUUAAUGUUGGUGUAAUCCAAUUUAUCUACUUUUUCUUUAGUUGAUUGUGCUUUCAGUGUCACAUCUAAGAAACCAUAGCUUAAUCCAAGAUCGCAGGGAUUUACUCCUAUGCUUUCUUAUAAGAGCUUUAUAGUUUAACCCUUACAUUUAGAUGUAUGAAUCACUUUGACUUAAUUUA
rnacentral:lncRNA from 1 species